AUUGAACGCUGGCGGCAGGCCUAACACAUGCAAGUCGAGCGGAUGAAGGGAGCUUGCUCCUGGAUUCAGCGGCGGACGGGUGAGUAAUGCCUAGGAAUCUGCCUGGUAGUGGGGGAUAACGUCCGGAAACGGGCGCUAAUACCGCAUACGUCCUGAGGGAGAAAGUGGGGGAGCUUCGGACCUCACGCUAUCAGAUGAGCCUAGGUCGGAUUAGCUAGUUGGUGGGGUAAAGGCCUACCAAGGCGACGAUCCGUAACUGGUCUGAGAGGAUGAUCAGUCACACUGGAACUGAGACACCGUCCAGACUCCUACGGGAGGCAGCAGUGGGGAAUAUUGGACAGUGGGCGAAAGCCUGAUCCAGCCAUGCCGCGUGUGUGAAGAAGGUCUUCGGAUUGUAAAGCACUUUAAGUUGGGGGGAAGGGCAUUAAGUUAAUACCUUGCUGUUUUGACGUUACCAACAGAAUAAGCACCGGCUAACUUCGUG
rnacentral:rRNA from 1 species